AUAUAUAUAUUUGUAAAUAGAAUAUGAGUGGAAAACAGAUGAUACAUAGAAGGUCCUACCAGAAUGAAAUUAGAUUCAUGAAUUCAAAGACUGAAUAUAUUCAGUUUUAGGAUUCUGAUAUGAGCAUCACAAGUAAUCCCCCAGAUGCUCUUCCUUUCCACCCCGCCCCCCUUUCAUAUAACUGGAGACACAUUUCCCACUAAACCACUCUGCCUCACACCCUCUGCAUUGGGCUCAUUCAUUCAUUUAUACACCCAUCAAAUAUUUAACUGAGCUGAUAACAUGUGCCAGGCACUGUGCUUGGCGCUGGGGAUACAAAUGAAUACUGUAUGGUCUUUGCCUCCAGGAUUGUCCCGAGCCAGCCCUGAGCACGGGAUCACCGUGCCCUUCACAGCAGCAUACUUCCUGGCUUGCAGGGUUGGCCACAGGGCUGGGCACCGGGACUCAGUCUGAGGAACUGACAGAUGGACAAACUACUGGCUGAUUUCUGCUAGGCCUCCAGAAGGACAGAGUAGAGGGGGAAAGAUUUAGGACAUCCCGAAUCAGCUUGGAUUCCAGUAUCCUGUAUCUAGAGAAGCUCGAACCUAUUGAUCUGCUGGAAGCCACUCUCAGAGAUCUUGCUCACUCUGCUGACUGCCACCCCCAAUUCUGCCCCCAAUAUGUCCCUGGCUUCCUCACACCAACCAUCAAGUCUUUUUC